UGGGGAAUAUUGGACAAUGGGCGCAAGUCUGAUCCAGCCAUGCCGCGUGAGUGAUGAAGGCCCUAGGGUUGUAAAGCUCUUUCACCGGUGAAGAUAAUGACGGUAACCGGAGAAGAAGCCCCGGCUAACUUCGUGCCAGCAGCCGCGGUAAUACGAAGGGGGCUAGCGUUGUUCGGAUUUACUGGGCGUAAAGCGCACGUAGGCGGACUUUUAAGUCAGGGGUGAAAUCCCGGGGCUCAACCCCGGAACUGCCUUUGAUACUGGAAGUCUUGAGUAUGGUAGAGGUGGGUGGAAUUCCGUGUGUAGAGGUGAAAUUCGUAGAUAUUCGGGGGAACACCAGUGGCGAAGGCGGCUCACUGGACCAUUACUGACGCUGAGGUGCGAAAGCGUGGGGAGCAAACAGG
rnacentral:rRNA from 1 species